rnacentral:rRNA from 1 species
GUUUUGGCUGCACACCUCCUUCUAUCGUGGUGAACGCCUUGUCUUGCACUGCAUGUCGCCCUUGCUGGAAUGGAUGGAACACCUGCUUUUAGACUACAGAAUGGUUGGACCACCUCCUUAUAGACUGCCGAACCAUGAUUUUGAUCCUGGCUCAUGCUGGAACACCUCCUUAUAGCUUGCAGAAAUCCAGAGUAUGGUUAUUUGCUUGAGCAUGCAUCACCAUCUUAUUGACUAGAAAGUAACGCGCGUCACCAUGGCAGUCGAUCCAUAUGGGGAGACUGACAAGGACAUCCCCUACCUGGCUCUGAUGACACUAUCCAGACUCCUACAUAGAGGCAGCAUAAGACAGAAGAUAUAGACGGUUGGACUGAAACUCUGAUCCAGCCAUGCCGCGUGCAGGAAGACUGCCCUAUGGGUUGUAAACUGCUUUUACAGAGGAAGAACCGCACCCACGUGUGGGUGUUUGACGGUACUCUGCGAAUAAGGAUCGGCUAACUCCGUGCCAGCAGCCGCGGUAAUCGGAGGAUCCAAGCGUUAUCCGGAAUCAUUGGGUUUAAAGGGUCCGUAGGCGGGACAAUAAGUCAGUGGUGAAAGUUGCAGCUAACUGUAGAACUGCUUGAACUGU